AGAGGCCACCCCCCACCUGGCUACAAUGCCCCGUCAGGUGCAAUGUAGUGCAUUUCAACAAGCAAUAGCUGGAAAUAGCUGGGAACUCUGACCCACUCACUUCUGCUGCUUGCUCCAUGGCAGGAGGAAGGAUAUGGAAAGAAAUUACAGCCUGUUGCCACAUGGCUCGCUGAGAAGGUGGACAAACUCGAGGCUAGCUGGGGUACACAGAGAGCUUUCCUUACAAUUUGAAGGAAAGAACAACAAAGUCUGUGUCGUGUCAAGAUGAGCAGCUUAGGGGAGGUGAUUCUCCUCUUCUAGUCUGCUUUCAUGAGAUCUCACCUGCAGUAUUGCAUUCAGCUCCGUGGCCCCACACAUAAGAGACGUGGGGCUGUUGGAGGCGAGGAAGCCACAAAAGUGCUCAGAGGGCUGGAACACCUCUGCUGUAAGAACAAAUGAGAGAGUUGGGGUUGUUCAGCCUGCAGAAGACAUAGCUCCAGAGAGACCUUGUUGCAGCCUUUCAGUACUUGAAGGAAGCCUACAAGAAAGAUGACCAAGAGCAGUUGUUGAAGAUGAGUUUUUUCCAGUUCUCUCUGGCCUUCAGCUGCUGUUCCUGCCUGUUCUCUGCCUCUGACGACAUCCUACACCAGAGCUGCUUCGAUCUCUCUCCCAGCUGCAGGUGAGGCCACACAGAGCUUGUUUCCAGGGGGAAACCUGCUGAAUUUAUACCUGGAAGAGAC